GAUGAACGCUGGCGGCGUGCUUAACACAUGCAAGUCGAACGGAAAGGCUCCUGCUUGCAGGGGUACUCGAGUGGCGAACGGGUGAGUAACACGUGGGUGAUCUGCCCUGCACUUCGGGAUAAGCCUGGGAAACUGGGUCUAAUACCGGAUAGGACGAUGGUUUGGAUGCCAUUGUGGAAAGUUUUUUCGGUGUGGGAUGAGCUCGCGGCCUAUCAGCUUGUUGGUGGGGUAAUGGCCUACCAAGGCGUCGACGGGUAGCCGGCCUGAGAGGGUGUACGGCCACAUUGGGACUGAGAUACGGCCCAGACUCCUACGGGAGGCAGCAGUGGGGAAUAUUGCACAAUGGGCGGAAGCCUGAUGCAGCGACGCCGCGUGGGGGAUGACGGCCUUCGGGUUGUAAACUGCUUUCGCUAGGGACGAAGCGCAAGUGACGGUACCUGGAGAAGAAGCACCGGCUAACUACGUG
rnacentral:rRNA from 1 species